rnacentral:tRNA from 2 species
GCGGAAGUGGUGGAAUUGGUAGACACACUGGAUUUAGGUUCCAGCGUCGCAAGACGUGAGAGUUCGAGUCUCUCCUUCCGCACCA